GAAAAGGAAUCACGGUACUCAGCUGGAAGGAGACUUGGAUUGCUGACCAGCCUGGUCUCUUCCUUUUAAUUAAUGACACUGUUUUCACAUCAGUAGCAAUAUCUCCAGUAAGUAAUCACUGCCUUCAAAUACUAGACCAUUGCCUGGACAUUGUCAUUUCCUGUGUGAUGCUGGUGACAAGGGCCUUUCUCUUUCUCCAGCCAGUAUACUAGAAAUCUGUUCUGCUGGAACAGGAAGUUUCCUGCGAUUUUGGCACUACUAAAACAACAAUGAAUUUAUUUCCUGAAGAAUGGCUUGAUCCUGAAACGUUGGACUUCAUCCAGAAACCUAGCUGUACACAUAUAUUUUCCUUUCUUCUUGGAACGGACCCUCCACUUCAUGAGCUACUUCACAGCUUUGCUUGGACUUUCACUUUUCCAACUUUGGUUGUUUGAGAAUAGGUUACUUUAUGUGCAAUUGACCAAUAUCUUUUGUAUUGUUAUAAUGUUGUAUAACUGUGAUAAUGACCAUAUAAUAUAAUCAUAUUUUAUAUAUUUGAAA